rnacentral:rRNA from 1 species
UACGUAGGGUGCGAGCGUUGUCCGGAAGGAUUGGGCGUAAAGAGCUUGUAGGCGGUCUGUCGCGUCUGCUGUGAAAAUCCGGGGCUCAACCCCGGACUUGCAGUGGGUACGGGCAGACUAGAGUGUGGUAGGGGAGACUGGAAUUCCUGGUGUAGCGGUGAAAUGCGCAGAUAUCAGGAGGAACACCGAUGGCGAAGGCAGGUCUCUGGGCCACUACUGACGCUGAGAAGCGAAAGCAUGGGGAGCGAACAGG